rnacentral:lncRNA from 13 species
GUAUUCUCGGUUAACAGGGCUCUAGACAGUAUUCUCGGUUAACAGGGCUCUAGACAGUAUUCUCGGUUAACAGGGCUCUAGACAGUAUUCUCGGUUAACAGGGCUCUAGACAGUAUUCUCGGUUAACAGGGCUCUAGACAGUAUUCUCGGUUAACAGGGCUCUAGACAGUAUUCUCGGUUAACAGGGCUCUAGACAGUAUUCUCGGGUUAACAGGGCUCUAGACAGUAUUCUCGGGUUAACAGGGCUCUAGACAGUAUUCUCGGUUAACAGGGCUCGAGACAGUAUU